GGCCACAGCCCUGCCUGGCAGCUCCAAGGGAAUAGGUAAACAGAGAGAAGACAAACAUCAACAAGAAAGAGUGUAACUUACAAAGCACAUGUUUCCAGGGAGAAGAAUCCAGAGAAAACAUUAAAUGGUUGUCUGGAGCCCCCACCCAAGAUGAUAAAGAAGUGUCCUUGUUAACCCUGGGGAAGCUGACACUCCACCCCCUUGAUCUUCUUGUUCCAGCCCUGUGACCCCAGGAACCGUCUGCUGCAACUAGCACCCAGGAGCUCGUCUCUCUAUUUCUCACCCCAGCGUCUCUCCUCUGGCCCCUUCAUCUCACCUUCUUCCUUCCCACCCAGCACCCAGACCCUGCACUCAGGCAGGUGGGAGUUGGAGUCCUUGCUGGGUGACCGUGGACUUCAGUUGCUGCCCUCUCACUUGAUGACAGUCUCCAGCAAUUUAGCCAUCACUCCUUCAGGUGCAGAGAAGCUGACACCCUCACAAAGGGAGAGUUCCUUUUUAAAUGUCACAUGAGUUAAGAGAGGAUAACUUUAGAGAUGCUGGGAACUUCCUCGCCUGAUCUACCAAAGUCACAGGCAGGAACGAAUCUUUCUCAGAACCCUCCAGAAGACUCCUCUCCACUCCUAUUGGCCAGAAUUGCAUUACAUGUUCAGGCUGAAUCUAUUACUAGCAAGAGGAAGAGUUGCUCACAUU
rnacentral:lncRNA from 1 species